CGGAAAAUUCAGAUCGGUACUCGAAAAGCGGAAAAGGGUUGAAGACACUCACGCGUUAUAUUGUCAGCAAAAGACCACCUGAAAACCAACCGAUAUGAGGAUAUAUGCGUUAAUUCUACUGCUGUCCCUACUGCUGGGGGCGGUCCUGGAAGUGAACACCCAGGUCGUGACGCGUCGAAGGAAUUUCCCAGGAGAGAGACGCCUCGGGAGCAUCAACUAUGGGCAGUACAGGUUCGGGAAGAGAGGAUAUCAACGGAAGCAAAAUCCAAGAAAGUUAACGUGAAGGUAUCGGUUACUUGGAAUGUGCUCUGGACUGACUAACGGACCUUUUGACAAUGACACUUCAAUUAAUUAAAGAAAGGCUUUAAACUGUAAAUAGCUAUGUAAAUAAACUCUAAAAGUGAAUCCACGAGUAACUAUACAGCCUGUAUAUAGUUUAAAUACGGAAAUAUAUAGAUAUAUUUUUCCAUGAGGACUAGGAGACGUAAAGGAGCAGAAUAAAAAUGUACAUUCUAAGACCUAUAGGUUAAAGAGAUAAAAACUAAACCAUAAGCAAAGACCAUACUAUAAAGAGCUUGAAGCUUGUUUAGACUCAGACGUAAGGCUACUGAAUGCAGGUGGAAGGGAUCCAUGAGUGUAGUAAAGCCUUUGGAAUAGUCACUACGUUCAUCCGUCUGAUGGAACACCAAGUUCACAAGGUGAUGUUUGGUGAAGAAAAAAUCCGGUUUCUAUGCAUGUUUUAAGUACCGUUGUUGCUAUCAUUACAAUGAUGAAUUAUUGUCUUGUUAAAAGCAAUGAUAUCUUAAUCUUCAUCAUAUGAAGAUUAUUCCAAUUUAUGUUUUUGCAAAUUUAAGAGGAUUUAAUAAACAAGAGGAUCAUUAA